UGGCUGCAACUGUUUAUUAAAAACACAGCACUGUGCAAACACGAAAGUGGACGUAUACGGUGUGACGCCUGCCCGGUGCCGGAAGGUUAAUUGAUGGGGUCAGCGCAAGCGAAGCUCCUGAUCGAAGCCCCGGUAAACGGCGGCCGUAACUAUAACGGUCCUAAGGUAGCGAAAUUCCUUGUCGGGUAAGUUCCGACCUGCACGAAUGGCGUAAUGAUGGCCAGGCUGUCUCCACCCGAGACUCAGUGAAAUUGAACUCGCUGUGAAGAUGCAGUGUACCCGCGGCAAGACGGAAAGACCCCGUGAACCUUUACUAUAGCUUGACACUGAACAUUGAGCCUUGAUGUGUAGGAUAGGUGGGAGGCUUUGAAGUGUGGACGCCAGUCUGCAUGGAGCCGGCCUUGAAAUACCACCCUUUAAUGUUUGAUGUUCUAACGUGGACCCGUGAUCCGGGUUGCGGACAGUGUCUGGUGGGUAGUUUGACUGGGGCGGUCUCCUCCUAAAGAGUAACGGAGGAGCACGAAGGUUGGCUAAUCCUGGUCGGACAUCAGGAGGUUAGUGCAAUGGCAUAAGCCAGCUUGACUGCGAGCGUGACGGCGCGAGCAGGUGCGAAAGCAGGUCAUAGUGAUCCGGUGGUUCUGAAUGGAAGGGCCAUCGCUCAACGGAUAAAAGGUACUCCGGGGAUAACAGGCUGAUACCGCCCAAGAGUUCAUAUCGACGGCGGUGUUUGGCACCUCGAUGUCGGCUCAUCACAUCCUGGGGCUGAAGUAGGUCCCAAGGGUAUGGCUGUUCGCCAUUUAAAGUGGUACGCGAGCUGGGUUUAGAACGUCGUGAGACAGUUCGGUCCCUAUCUGCCGUGGGCGCUGGAGAACUGAGGGGGGCUGCUCCUAGUACGAGAGGACCGGAGUGGACGCAUCACUGGUGUUCGGGUUGUCAUGCCAAUGGCACUGCCCGGUAGCUAAAUGCGGAAGAGAUAAGUGCUGAAAGCAUCUAAGCACGAAACUUGCCCCGAGAUGAGUUCUCCCUGAGACUUUAGGUCUCCUGAAGGAACGUUGAAGACGACGACGUUGAUAGGCCGGGUGUGUAAGCGCAGCGAUGCGUUGAGCUAACCGGUACUAAUGAACCGUGAGGCUUAACCUU
rnacentral:rRNA from 1 species